AACCAACAGAACUUAAAAAUACAUGCUGAUAUAGACAUUCUACCAUCAGCAUCAGUGUAUCCUCCCACUCUUAGCUCUAACCCUUCUUUAAAGAUGAGGAAUAAUCCCUUAGUGCUUCUCAAGUACUUAGGAAUAUUUUCACAGCAAUCCAAUGUUCCCAGCUUGGAUUCGACUAAUAUCUGCUGAUGACUUUCACAGCAAGAUAUAGCAAAUCGAGUACAUAGCAUGGCAUAUACUUAUGCCCAAGAGG
rnacentral:lncRNA from 1 species